UGAUGACACUUUCUCCGGAAUCUCUGCACAUCGUUGAUUCAUAUUUUGAACCCUUUUCCAGCUGAUGACUGCCUUGACUUUUU
rnacentral:snoRNA from 1 species